GACUGAGGAAAAGCAAAGGUCAAACUGGUCAAUAUUUACUCAAGAAACUCUACAUCUUGAUGUACUGUAACACACACUCUGAACAUCUUCAUCAGAUAUCUCCGGAGACCUUUCGUUAUGAGUAAGGAUUUCAAAAGUAUCACCGCUUUUCCUCUAAAAUCUAUACUUUAAAAAGAGAAACCCGUCUACGCCCACUGCGAGGGGCAGCUCUGCAGGAGCGCGGCGCGGGCGCAGGCGGCGGUGUUUAUUUACGAGCGCCAUCUCGCCAGGCCGCAUUCCUGCGCCCGCGCUGCCGACCUCCAAAGACGCGCACAAGACACGCUUUGACUCAUCACAUGACAGCAUCGCAGACUACCAGCAACGAGCACUUCUUCCUGGAGCACGAUUGUUUAAAACAAAAAUUCCAAGAAAUUCAUAAAGACUAAGUUUUUCCAAAGAAGCCCAAGGAAGGUAGACACCCAAAUCCUCUGGCACAUCAGCAAGGAAUAAUAGGUAGGUUGUGGGCUCGUGUCUGCAGCAGCAUGAAUGGGCCACCAAGGGCUGUCAGCGGAGGAGAGGCAGCACCGCGGCCGAACAAAGGGGAGCCAGGACGGGAGCAAGCGAAACCGAAGAGCCUGACACGCAGGACUGAGGUGCGGGAGGACCGGAACAGGGCAGAGCGCGGGGGAGCCGGAUCCCCGGCCACCGCGCACCCAGGCACAAGCUUCCCUCCUCUGCUUGGAGCCACCUCCACCGCCACCACCAGCUGGCUCAGAGCCACGCUCCCGCUGGGCAAAGGCUCUCCGGCAUCGCUGAAAACGUCACCCAGCCACCCGACUCCCGGAGCCGUGCAGCCCCUAGCAGGACGACUCCUGCACGCGCAGAAAAAGACGUAGGAUUUCCACAGCCCAAGCCCGCGGCCUCCCUGCGCCGAAAGCGCAGACGGCUGGGAUCGAACAGUCCCAGAGACGCACACGCCAAAAGCUAGCUUUUCCCACCACUCUGUGACAGGUAUGUUAUUUCCUUUAAAAGAAUAUCAGGCCUCGCUAAAAAAUCCCCCUGCUCCUGGAACCGUAUGCAACCCCUAAUGUGGAACUGAAGUCUAAAUUCAAAGACCAAUUAAAAAAAAAAUCAAUGAAAUGCUUUUAUGAAACAGGAGAUUGAUCUGCAGCUUAAAACUUCCAGUAAUGUAAUAUUUUAGAACUUUAAUAAAUAAUGCUUUUAUCUUGAUUGCAAAAUAAUACCCUGCCAUGAAAACACGGAGCAGAGGUAGGAAACUGUUCGACAAGAAUUAAAAUGUCACACUUUGCAUAGAGUGCAGCAUUACCAUUAUUGGUGAAACACAUUUUUCAAACUUGUUAACACAAAAUUAACAAUUACAUACAUCACUUAAUUCUAUAAGUGCAUAUCCCUUGAAGUACCCAUUAGCUAACCAUGCCUAGUUCAGUUUUAAUAUACAUGCAGGCUUUGCAGCACAGAGGGGAUGUAACUAUGCGAGCGCUGGCACAGUAAACCCUGAAAUGGCAAGUGCUAUUAAAUUGAGAUGCAAUCACGUUGAAAGGGAAACAUUAACAAACAGCAGACAAUUGAGAAGAAAAUACAGGGCGCUUGUGUUCUCAUACAUGUGCUUCAAAACCUUAUAUAACUAUUCAUUGUCUAUUGCAUCUGGCCAUGGGCCCAGUUUGUUCUAUGCUAUGCUAUACUAAUUUUAUAAUAAUAAACUGUUACACAAGCUUUA